UGGCUUAGCGGUAAAGCGCUUGGCUUCCAAACAGGGGUUCCCGUGGUUCGAAUCCUGG
rnacentral:tRNA from 1 species